AUGUGGAGCCCCUGAAGGACCUGACACAGCCGUGUUGAUGAGGAACGGAAGUGGUCCUUUUCUAACAGAAGCAGAUCCAGUGAUUUUCAUAUUUGUCGUCCUCACUGCGGCUUCAGAUGGAUCUUUGUCUGAAGGAUUUCUGGAGGACAUUCUAGAAGGAAUCACAAGAGCAUCAAGGAAAGAAUUAUUUGAUGGUUAAAAACUUAUACCACCCUACCAGGGUAUUGGUUUGACCAGCAAAACCACCACAUCUAAAUGACAAUUGGGCCACUUGAUGGAGACCUCCAGAUGAAUGGUCUACCUCAGCUGGGUUUGCCACCUGGCACAGAAGGUGGGAAGAGGAAGGAAACUGAAACAGGACCCAUUAACUAUGUAUACUGGUACAAGUAUAAUAACAAUCACACUUCUCUGUACAUAAGCCUUUUCCCCAUAAUUUCCUUCUUAGAUUUCAUGAAAGCUGAUGCUGUAGCAUUUUGCCUCAUCAACUCUUUGUUGUAAUUGUUUGGUUUCUCCAGAGUUUUUUCUCUAAAAGGAAUUAUCAUGGGCCUUAAAAGGGAAUGGAAAUAACU